CGGCAUGCCUAACACAUGCAAGUCGAACGAGACCUUCGGGUCUAGUGGCGCACGGGUGCGUAACGCGUGGGAAUCUACCUUGGGUUCGGAAUAACUCAGAGAAAUUUGAGCUAAUACCGGAUGAUGUCGCAAGACCAAAGAUUUAUCGCCCAAGGAUGAGCCCGCGUAGGAUUAGCUUGUUGGUGAGGUAAAAGCUCACCAAGGCGACGAUCCUUAGCUGGUCUGAGAGGAUGAUCAGCCACACUGGGACUGAGACACGGCCCAGACUCCUACGGGAGGCAGCAGUGGGGAAUAUUGGACAAUGGGCGAAAGCCUGAUCCAGCAAUGCCGCGUGAGUGAUGAAGGCCUUAGGGUUGUAAAGCUCUUUUACCCGGGAUGAUAAUGACAGUACCGGGAGAAUAAGCCCCGGCUAACUCCGUG
rnacentral:rRNA from 1 species